GAUGACCGCUGGCGGCGUGCCUAAUACAUGCAAGUCGAGCGAACAGACGAGGAGCUUGCUCCUCUGACGUUAGCGGCGGACGGGUGAGUAACACGUGGAUAACCUACCUAUAAGACUGGGAUAACUUCGGGAAACCGGAGCUAAUACCGGAUAAUAUAUUGAACCGCAUGGUUCAAUAGUGAAAGACGGUUUUGCUGUCACUUAUAGAUGGAUCCGCGCCGCAUUAGCUAGUUGGUAAGGUAACGGCUUACCAAGGCGACGAUGCGUAGCCGACCUGAGAGGGUGAUCGGCCACACUGGAACUGAGACACGGUCCAGACUCCUACGGGAGGCAGCAGUAGGGAAUCUUCCGCAAUGGGCGAAAGCCUGACGGAGCAACGCCGCGUGAGUGAUGAAGGUCUUCGGAUCGUAAAACUCUGUUAUUAGGGAAGAACAAAUGUGUAAGUAACUAUGCACGUCUUGACGGUACCUAAUCAGAAAGCCACGGCUAACUACGUG
rnacentral:rRNA from 1 species